rnacentral:rRNA from 1 species
CAGAACGAACGCUGGCGGCGUGCUUAACACAUGCAAGUCGAACGCGAAAGGGGGCUUUGCUCCCUGAGUAGAGUGGCGCACGGUGAGUAACGCGUGGGUAACUACCUAAUGUGGGGAUAACUACUCGAAAGGGUGGCUAAUACCGCAUGAGACCACGGAGUCUUCGGGCUCUGAGGCCAAAGAUUGCAUCGGCUUGCCGGUGCCGUCGCAAUAGGAUGGGCCCGCGUACGAUUAGCUAGUUGGUGAGGUAAUGGCUCACCAAGGCUACGAUCGUUAGCUGGUCUGAGAGGAUGACCAGCCACACUGGAACUGGAACACGGUCCAGACUCCUACGGGAGCAGCAGUGAGGAAUAUUGCGCAAUGGGGGAAACCCUGACGCAGCAACGCCGCGUGGGUGAAGAAGGCCUUCGGGUCGUAAAGCCCUUUCGGACGGGACGAACGUCAUGCGGGGAAACUCGUGUGGCUUGACGGUACCGUAAGAAGAAGCACCGGCUAACCCCGUGCCAGCAGCCGCGGUAA